CAAGGCUGCAGUGAACUAUGAUUGUGUCACUGUACUCCAGCCUGGGCAACAGAGUGACCCUGCCUCAAAACAACAACAAAAAAACCCCUAAAUUUCUGAUUAUCACUAAGUUUUUGGUUAUGAAAUUACUGGAGGAAAUGCAGCAUUCUCUUGGUUGAAAACCAUUUGGAGAGCCAUGCACAUUCCUGAUCCCUAAGUCCUUGAGGUUGCACCCAUCUUGAGGAACAGUGUGCUCUCUGGACUGAUGUUACUGAAUCCAACCCAGUUCCUACUUGAUUUUUGUGGCAUUAGCUUGGCAGCUAGAUUUUACCUUUACUGUUUUUACCACAUAUCAGAAGAUGACAAAUCACACUGGUAGCAAGGAUAAGGGAGUGAUUUUCAAGGCAUUCUAACUCUAAAAAACAGUUGAGAAAUCAGCUUUCUUUAUGGAGUAAGAGAACACGACACGGAUGAACAAAUUGUCCUGUUAUCCAAUAAGAUUAUCAGGGUUAUUAGUGAGAUAAUAAAAAAAGUCUGCAUGACUACCAAAAGUCUCCAGACUAAGGAUCAGAAGACCUGGUUUCUUAUUCUUCCACUUUCUACCUGCAACUCUGGCCAAGUUUCUACGCUGCUCUGAGCUACAGGGUUUUUCAUUGUGAAAGAGGGUGAGAGUUCCUCCACAUUAUUCCAAUAUAUUGAGGAAACCCCAUGAGAUAAUGCAUGGGAACGUGUUUUGGAAACUCGAAAGUGCUGCCCCAAAUAUAAGGUAACACUAUUUACAAUUGACACUUCCACAAAGUUUAGCCAACAGCCCCACACAUUGCAUCCUCUUCUAGUAACAUUAAUCAAAAUCAGGCCAAAGGUGCAGGUAGGACAGACGCCUGACUUACUAGAAAAUAAAUGUCUAGUCUAUUCCACUUGUAGUGCCAGUUUACAUUGUCUGGUGAGGGCCAACGACCGGGGCCUCGGGGUAGAAGGAAGAAAGGGUAUCAGUGGAACUGAGAGGGUAUACUGUGGCGCCUGGAAACCCAACCUCGCCCGGGUUCCCUGUCUCCUGUGUGCAGCAUGCUUGCAGUGCAUUCCUCUGGCAGGUAAAUACUCGGGAGUCCCGCAGCCCACUUGUGCCCACCUAGCCUGUAAGUGCCCCCGAGGGUAUCAAAGCACGCGGAUUUCCACUUGAAACAAAGCCACUGCACGGCAAGUUUCCCCGUUAAUAAUAAGGAAGAAAGAGAGGACUUGGCAGCCAUGGCGGAUCUGCAGUAAUUAAACUGACGUUGCUGAUUAAAAGCCUAGGGGUUGCCUGCAGCCUCCCAGCCUGCACUCCAACGGCUCCAACUCUGCAGGCGGGCCGUGAAUGUCUCUAGAUGCAUAUUAAGCAAAAAGUUUCUAAAGAGGAUCGCGUGGAACCCAGCAAUUGAUUAAGAAUCUCAAUGGCCCUAAUCCACCGAGAAUUGAACGAAGAGCUCCCCAGCCAGCGCAGCGCUUUAAAUGGGGCUUAGAGACAGCAAGCCCCGCCGGGAAGGAGGGGCGGGGAGUUACUGCGCAUGCGUCCGAGGGUGUCAGGCGCAUCUGAAGCAGAAGUGUUCCAGCCUAUUCAGCAGCGAGUGGCUGGAAAUCAGCAAAGUGAGAGGCUGCGCGGCGUAACUGAGGGACUAGGGGAGGCUGGGGGCUUUUUUCUGAAGAGGUGUGAAGCUCAGGGGAAGGAGUAGACGUGGAAACCACGUAAAGUAAAAUCGUGGCAAGUGGGUAUAGUCCUAAAAUCUCCUUCGUGAGCCCCCUCCAGUUGGGACCCCAGAACGUGCAGCUCAAUGUAUGUUUGGAAUGAAUGGGUGAAAAGAAGCAGGAGGAGGAGGGCGGUCUAGUGAAGACUCCAGAGGGAAGCAGCCCAUCCCCUACCUCAAGAAAGCACCGCCACUGCAGUGGGAACGGACACGCGUGUACACAGCCAUGAAUGAGAGCUGGCAAAGUUGGACCAAGGAAAGUGAUAGCACCAGCUAAGAGGAGUGUGCAAGAAGGGACGGAGGAGGAGCACUAUGUACUGGGGGAAAGAGAUGGGGUCUUCCGGGACAGGGGAGAGAAUACAGCAGUUCCGAGGGCAAAGGAUUGGUACCACUGCUCCCCACUCAAUAAACGGCACAGGCAGAAUCUGCAUCUUUCUUCAGACAAGGGAGGCUGAAGCACUCUUUUGGAAAAGGAAACCACAGAGCCACCAGCAGCAGCAGCUACAACAAAAUGGGGAGAAAAAAUAGUGACAACUGUGGCAGCAACCUACAUGUGUCAAACAUCUCUCAUAAGGCAAAACUGACAAUAAUAAACAACUGACAUGUCAGUUAUGGAGUUAUCCUUUUACUGGAAGAAGUUCCAUAGAUAACAGGAAUUUCAAAAAAUCUGUAAUGGAAACUGACUUUAAUGUAACUGAUAACUCCAUAAGGCUCUUCACUCUGAACCACUCGUUAACGAGUGCUUCAGUUGAUGAACAAAUUGGUUUUUACCCUGGACUGCAGAUGCCAUUAGGUCUCUGCUGGUCCUAGACUUUUUUAAAGGAUGAAAAUGGGCCCCAUAUUAAUUCAUGUUCAACUACAGAAAACAACAAGUGAAACUUUGUUUGCUCCAAAUUGGAAACUGAAAUACGGAAACAGCAGUGUAGAAUUAAACAGAUGAAAGUGGUUUAUCAGAUAACGAAAAGGCAAAGGAUAUUUAAUUAUAUUAAAAAUGGACUUAAAGCCAGGAACAAUAGAAAAUGUGGAAGAAUCUUUCACAGAGGCACAAAGUGAAGUUUUUCCAUACUCUGAUUUUCUCCCUCUUCCCUUCAAUACCCUGGACUUGCACAAACGAGCCCUCUCAACAUCUGAAAAUUGGAAAGCAACAGUGGAACCUUCAGAAAGCUCUAUUAUUGGAAAUGGAAAGAUUACAAUAUAUGACUAUACAAAAAGAGAAGUCAAAGCUGCAAACUAAAAGUAGUUUGUACUACAGCAGUUACUGAAUGACUCUCUUCCUCCAAUGCUAUACUGAAAGUGAGACAGCCAAAACUUUCUGAUUCAUUGAGUCUUCAGACAUCUUGUGUAGAUAAAAGUUGAGGAAAAAGAAAAACAAAAAACAAACCUGGUUCUUGCAAGCUUGAACAAAAUGCUUCAAAAUGGAUUUGGAGCAAUGCCGGCAAAUAUAAAUGAAAUUCUAGAUCACCAUGUCUAAAAAGUUCAUCCACCACAAAACAGUUGAUUGCAACUUAGGACUUUAAAACUCCUAAAACUUCCAUUUUAAAUCCAUGCCAAGAACUUUCAACUAGGACCAGACAACUCACUGACUGGGUAAAGUGACCUCAAUAAGGUGUCUGCCCCCAGGGUCUUCAAUACCAGUCUCCGUCUUUUCUUGAAAAUGAAAAGAAAUAAAUCAAGGCACCAAUCACAAACUUUACCAAAAAACUACAGUGUUGAAUAGACCAUUCUAUAUUUACAAGCUAUUUGUUGCCUUCAUUUAUAGUUAAGUGCUUAUCCAUUGACCAAAAUUAAUUCUUUUCAUUCACAUAUCUGAGUGUGAGCAAAUCUAUUCAAGAAGCCCAGCUAAAAUAUAGUUCAUUGUUCCCAGAUACAGGUAUGAAAACACACACACACACACACACACACUCCAAUUGCUUCAUAUGAUAUGGACUGGAAUUAUGAAAAUUACUGCUGAGAGUAUUUGAAUUUUCUUAAUUGUUAAUUUUUUUUAUAGAGAUGAGGUCUCACUUUAUUGCCCAAGCUGUUUUCAAUCAAACUCCUGGGCUCAAGCUAUCCUCCUGCUUUGGCCUCCCCAAAUGCUGGGAUUACAAGGAUGCGAGCCCAGCGGAGAGUCUUUAUAUAAAUGGAAGGGCUUCUAUGCUGACAUGUUUGACAAUCUUUUGCAUGUUACAUUUCAAAGAAAUGUUUCACUUAGUAAACUGUUCUAUUCAAAGAUUGUUCUUUUGUGAUUGUUUUUCAGUAUAAUUCUGUCAUCAAUAAAUGGUAUAAUGGGUGGUGGGGGGAGGAAGACAGUACUGAACUUAUUAUAGCAUGGAUGAGUCUUGCAACUAUUAUGUUAAGUGAAAGAAGCUGAACCAAUAGUAGCAUGUUGUUAUUUUCCUAGUUACAUGCAAUGUCCAGAAUUGGCAAAUCCGUAAAGACAGAAAGUAAACUGGUGGUUGCCAGCAACUAGGAGUAGGGAGGAAUGGGAGCAACUACUAAUGGUGCAGGGUUUCUUACUGGGAUGACAGUGUUCUGGAAUUAGUGGUGAUGGUUGCAUGACUUUGGAAUUAUAUUCAAAACGAAGGAAUUAUAAAUUUUAAGAGUAAAUUGUAUGGCAUGAGACUUGUAUGUCAAUAAAAUGACUAAG